rnacentral:tRNA from 1 species
GAUAUUAUAGCUAAAUGAUAGAGCAUUUGCUUAACAUGCAUGGGGCCCUGGGUUUGAUCCCCAGUACUGCCG